rnacentral:rRNA from 1 species
AACGUAGGUGGCAAGCGUUAUCCGGAUUUACUGGGCGUAAAGCGUGUGCAGGCGGGGGUACAAGUGGUGUAUGAAAUUUCCCAACUUAACUGGGAAGGGUUAUGCCAGACUGUACUUCUGGAGUGCGAGAGAGGGGCGUGGAAUUCCGGGUGUAGUGGUGAAAUGCGUAGAGAUCCGGAGGAACCCCAGAGGCGAAGGCGGCGCCCUGGCUCGCAACUGACGCUCAGACACGACAGCAUUGGGAGCGAACGGG